UCGCACGGCCCUCGUGCCGGCGACGCAUCAUUCAAAUUACCCAAUCCUGACACGGGGAGGUAGUGACAAUAAAUAACAAUACCGGGCCCUUCGGGUCUGGUAAUUGGAAUGAGUAUAAUCUAAAUCCCUUAACGAGGAUCCAUUGGAGGACAAGUCUGGUGCCAGCAGCCGUAGUAAUUCCAGCUCCAAUAGCGUAUAUUUAAGUUGUUGCAGUUAAGAAGCUCGUAGUCGGACCUUGGGCCAGGCCAGCCGGUCCGCCUCCUGGUGUGUACCGGCUGUCCCGUCCCCUCUGCCGGCGAUGCGCUCCUGGCCUUAACUGGUGGGGUCGUGCCUCUGGCGCCGUUCGUUUGAAGAAAUUAGAGUGCUCAAAGCAAGCCCAUGCUCUGGAUACAUUAGUAUAAGAUAACAUCAUAGGAUUCCGGUCCUAUUGUGUUAGCCUUCGGGAUCGGAGUAAUGAUUAAGAGGGACAUUCGCGGGCAUUCGUAUUUCAUAGUCAGAGAUGAAAUUCUUGGAUUUAUGAAAGACGAACCACUGCGAAAGCAUUUGCCAAGGAUGUUUUCAUUGAUCAAGAACAAAAGUUGGGGGAUCAAAGACGAUCAGAUACCGUCCUAGUCUCAACCAUAAACGAUGCCGACCAGGGAUCGGCGGAUAUUGCUUUUAGGACUCCGCCGGCACCUUAUGAGAAAUCAAAGUCUUUGGGUUCCUAGGGGAGUAUGGUCGCAAGGCUGAAACUUAAAGGAAUUGACGGAAGGGCACCACCAGGAGUGGAGCCUGCGGCUUAAUUUGACUCAACACGGGGAAAUUUACCAGGUCCAGACAUAGCAAGGAUUGACAAACUGAGAGCUCUUUCUUGAUUCUGUGGGUGGUGGUGCAUGGCCGUUCUUAGUUGGUGUAGUGAUUUGUCUGGUUAAUUCUGAUAACGAACGAGACCUCAGCCUGCUAACUAGCUAUGCGGAGGAAUCCCUCCGCGGCCAGCUUCUUAGAGGGAUGUGGCCGUUUAGGCCACGGAAGUUUGAGGCAAUAACAGGUCUGUGAUGUCCUUAGAUGUUCUAGGCCGCACGUUAGCUACACUGAUGUAUUCAACGAGUCUAUAGCCUUGGCCGACAGGCCUGGGUAAUCUUGUAAAAUUUCAUCGUGAUGGGGACAGAUCAUUGCAAUUGUUGGUCUUCAACGAGGAAUUCCUAGUAAGCGCGAGUCAUCAGCACGCGUUGACUACGUCCCUGCCCUAUGUACACACCGCCCGUCGCUCCUACCGAUUGAAUGGUCUGGUGAAGUGUUCGGAUCGCGGCGACGGGGGCGGUCUCGCCGCCCGCGACGUCGCGAGAAGUCCACUGAACCUUAUCAUUUAGAGGAAGGAGAAGUCGUAACAAGGUUUCCGUAGGUGAACCUGCGGAAU
rnacentral:rRNA from 1 species